ensembl:lncRNA
AUGAAAGCAGCUCCUCUGACCACAGUGACUUGGAUAUCUCUGUCAGCCCUCUGCCAGCUGUCUGCCCACGCCUACCUGCAGCCCCCAAUCCACAGAAUGUACCCACAGUCAGGAAACAAGCUCUUCUGUUCCAGAAACCAGAUAUGCUGUGGCACCCUCUGUCUUCGGCAAGGAGGAGUACAACAGUGCCAAGGCCCGUCUCACUCAACUAAGACUGAGAUGGUUAGCAGAGUGUCGUUGUCCUCCAGUAGGGGUUUCUCUCUGAGGAAGACUGACGACGACCCCCGACCUUCCAUGCCGCCCCAGAACCACCACAGCACUCAGCAGCUUUACAGAGAGAGCAGCAGGUCAUAGAGCCCCACGGUAGCCGACGCGAUGACCCCCGACCUUCCACACCACCCCAGACCCACCACAGGACUCAGCAGGUCAGAUAGAUCGACUGAGAGCCGACCUGGGUUCAAAUACUAUUUCAAAUCUUUCAAAUACGUUGAGCAUUUGCUUUAGUCAGCCUGGAGUGCCAGGUGGGCGGGAUUUGUACUUUUGGUGCCAUGAGCCAUUUUGUAUUUUGCAUCAAUGGAUAUGUGGUGUAUGUGAACGACUGGGGAGUUACUGGUUUCGAACAUAGAAAUAUAAUUACUAGACUGGUUCCCCCAUCACAGGUCAUUGACUUGAAUGGGGGUUUCUGUUCUAGUAGCUCUGUUUCUAUGGUUUCUAAAAUGCAUUCCUCUGCCUCUCAACUUGAGGUCCCACACCAGAUAGUGGCUGCGCCAAUGCCUAUGUCAAUGCCUGCAAUCAGAAUGCGGGUCAGGGUUCAGGAUAACGUGUGUCUGAUCCCAGUACCAUAUACAGUGGGGAGAACAAGUAUUUGAUACACUGCCGAUUUUGCAGGUUUUUACAAAGCAUGUAAAAAUCCAGAAAAUCACAUUGUAUGAUUUUUAAGUAAUUCAUUUGCAUUUUAUUGCAUGACAUAAGUAUUUGAUACAUCAGAAAAGCAGAACUUACCCUGCCGUAGCCUAGUGGUUAGAGCGUUGGACUAGUAACCGGAAGGUUACAAGGUUACAAGUUCAAACCCCAGAGCUGACAAGGUACAAAUCUGUCGUUCUGCCCCUGCCCCUGAACAGGCAGUUAACCCACUCUUCCUAGGCCGUCAUUGAAAAUAAGAAUUUGUUCUUAACUGACUUUCCUAGUUAAAUAAAGGUUUAAAUAUAUAUAUAUAUUAGCAGCAGGGAGGCGAGUGUAGAGAGUAUAGAGAUAUUGUUAUCCACCUCGGCACCAACGAUGUUAGGAUGAAACAGUCAGAGAUCACCAAGCGCAACAUAGCUUCUGCGUGUAAAUCAGCUAGAAAGAUGUGUCGGCAUCGAGUAAUUGUCUCUGGCCCCCUCCCAGUUAGGGAGAGUGAUGAGCUCUACAGCAGAGUCUCACAACUCAAUCGCUGGUUGAAAACUGUUUUCUGCCCCUCCACAAAAGAUAGAAUUUGUAGAUAAUUGGCCCUCUUUCUGGGACUCACCCACAAACAGGACCAAGCCUGACCUGCUGAGGAGUGACGGACUCCAUCCUAGCUGGAGGGGUGCUCUCAUCUUAUCUACCAACAUAGACAGGGCUCUAACUCCUCUAGCUCCACAAUGAAAUAGGGUGCAGGCCAGGCAGCAGGCUGUUAGCCAGCCUGCCAGCAUAGUGGAGUCUGCCACUAGCACAGUCAGUGUAGUCAGCUCAGCUAUCACCAUUGAGACCGUGUCUGUGCCUCGACCUAGGUUGGGCAAAACUAAACAUGGCAGUGUUCGCCUUAGCAAUCUCACUAGGAUAAAGACCACCUCCAUUCCUGUCAUUAUUGAAAGAGAUCAUGAUACCUCACAUCUCAAAAUAGGGCUACUUAAUGUUAGAUCCCUUACUUCAAAGGCAAUUAUAGUCAAUGAACUAAUCACUGAUCAUAAUCUUGAUGUGAUUGGCCUGACUGAAACAUGGCUUAAGCCUGAUGAAUUUACUGUGUUAAAUGAGGCCUCACCUCCUGGCUACACUAGUUACCAUAUCCCCCGUGCAUCCCGCAAAGGCAUAGGUGUUGCUAACAUUUACGAUAGCAAAUUUCAAUUUACAAAAAAAAAUGACGUUUUCGUCUUUUGAGCUUCUAGUCAUGAAAUCUAUGCAGCCUACUCAAAUCACUUUUUAUAGCUACUGUUUACAGGCCUCCUGGGCCAUAUACACCGUUCCUCACUGAGUUCCCUGAAUUCCUAUCGGACCUUGUAGUCAUAGCAGAUAAUAUUCUAAUCUUUGACUUUAAUAUUCACAUGGAAAAGUCCACAGACCCACUCCAAAAGGCUUUCGGAGCCAUCAUCGACUCAGUGGGUUUUGUCCAACAUGUCUCUGGACCCACUCACUGUCACAGUCAUAC